rnacentral:rRNA from 1 species
UACGUAGGGUGCGAGCGUUGUCCGGAAUUAUUGGGCGUAAAGGGCUCGUAAGCGGUUUGUCACGUCGGGAGUGAAAACUCGGGGCUCAACCCCGAGCCUGCUUCCGAUACGGGCAGACUAGAGGUAUGCAGGGGAGAAUGGAAUUCCUGGUGUAGCGGUGAAAUGCGCAGAUAUCAGGAGGAACACCGGUGGCGAAGGCGGUUCUCUGGGCAUUACCUGACGCUGAGGAGCGAAAGUGUGGGGAGCGAACAGG